rnacentral:rRNA from 1 species
UACAGAGGUCUCAAGCGUUGUUCGGAUUCAUUGGGCGUAAAGGGUGCGUAGGUGGCGUCGUAAGUCGGGUGUGAAAUUUCGGAGCUUAACUCCGAAACUGCAUUCGAUACUGCGGUGCUUGAGGACUGGAGAGGAGACUGGAAUUUACGGUGUAGCGGUGAAAUGCGCAGAUAUCAGGAGGAACACCGGUGGCGAAGGCGGGUCUCUGGGCAGAUACUGACGCUGAGGAGCGAAGGCGUGGGGAGCGAACGGG